AAAUGAAUGAAAAAUCAAGAUAUUCCUUACUAUUAUCAAUAACCCUGCAAAUAUUGUUGCUGGUGCUAUAUAAUACAUGCUUUCCUUACAUUUGGGACAUACUUCUUUUUAUGUGAAAUUUCAUAAACAUCCCCAACCACAGAGAUGUAAUCAACUACUUCAAUAAGAGUGGCACACUAAAAAUCUGAGCAUUCGCUAACAUGGAAAAGCAUUUGAAUGUUUCUACGCAUUGAAAGUUGAACCACAAUGGAAGAAAGAACAUAUCAACUGCAGCAUAAUCAAGCCCAGAAACCAAGGUACCCUUGCUAUCUGCUACUGUUCUAGCCAAAGAUAUUGGGAGCAAAUCCUAAUGAUUUCAUAUCUCUAAUUUGAUUAAUGGCUUUAGAGUAAUGCUUCAUUCUUGCAAUGGCACCCAACAAUUGAUUAAAUUCCACAAUGGAAGGUAAAGUCCCAAGUGAAGCACUGUACUUAAAACCAUCUUUAGCAACUAUACCAGAUGGAUUUAUGUUAAAAACUGUAGGUUGUUCCAAUCAUAAUUAUUUAGGAAUCACAAAAACUAACUGCAGACAUUAUUAAAAAAAUCACAAAUAAAAUAGGAAGUGAGAUGCUUAAAACACAACAAACCCAAAUGGUCCCUCCAAUGAGGGGUUUUUCCAUCCUACAAAAAACAAUAUGAUACUCUCGAGCAUCUCAUCCUGCUAUCCUUAUCUAUUGGUGAUACUGCUAGUUGAAUAGUAUAGAUGAUACUCUCUGCUAUGGAAUUCUCUCUCAACUCCACACCCUCGGAUUAUUUUUCACCCACCAAACAAUCAAAUCCAACCAAACCAAAAAAA